rnacentral:rRNA from 1 species
AUUGAACGCUGGUGGCAUGCUUUACACAUGCAAGUCGAACGGUAACAGGCCUUCGGGUGCUGACGAGUGGCGAACGGGUGCGUAAUGCAUCGGAACGUACCCAGAGGUGGGGGAUAACGCAGCGAAAGCUGUGCUAAUACCGCAUGUGAUCUGAGGAUGAAAGCGGGGGACCGAGCAGCAAUGUUUGGCCUCGCGCCUUUGGAGCGGCCCAUGUCGGAUUAGCUAGUUGGUGGGGUAAAGGCCUACCAAGGCGACGAUCCGUAGCUGGUCUGAGAGGACGACCAGCCACACUGGGACUGAGACACGGCCCAGACUCCUACGGGAGGCAGCAGUGGGGAAUUUUGGACAAUGGGCGCAAGCCUGAUCCAGCAAUGCCGCGUGCGGGAAGAAGGCCUUCGGGUUGUAAACCGCUUUUGGCAGGAACGAAACGGUGUCCGCUAAUACCGGGCGCUAAUGACGGUACCUGCAGAAUAAGCACCGGCUAACUACGUG